AGAGUUUGAUCCUGGCUCAGAUUGAACGCUGGCGGCAUGCCUUACACAUGCAAGUCGAACGGUAACAGGUCUUCGGAUGCUGACGAGUGGCGAACGGGUGAGUAAUACAUCGGAACGUGCCCGAUCGUGGGGGAUAACGGAGCGAAAGCUUUGCUAAUACCGCAUACGAUCUACGGAUGAAAGCAGGGGACCGCAAGGCCUUGCGCGGACGGAGCGGCCGAUGGCAGAUUAGGUAGUUGGUGGGAUAAAAGCUUACCAAGCCGACGAUCUGUAGCUGGUCUGAGAGGACGACCAGCCACACUGGGACUGAGACACGGUCCAGACUCCUACGGGAGGCAGCAGUGGGGAAUUUUGCGCAAUGGACGAAAGUCUGACGCAGCAACGCCGCGUGGGUGAUGAAGGUCUUCGGACUGUAAAACCCUGUCGUCAGGGACGAAGGCUGAGGGGUUAAUAACCUUUUAGCUUGACGGUACCUGGAGAGGAAGCCCCGGCUAACUCUGUGCCAGCAGCCGCGGUAAUACAGAGGGGGCAAGCGUUAUUCGGAAUUAUUGGGCGUAAAGGGCGCGUAGGCGGUUUUUUAAGUCAGAUGUGUAAUCCCCGAGCUUAACUUGGGAACUGCAUCUGAGACUGGAAGGCUAGAGUACUGGAGAGGGUGGUGGAAUUCCUCGUGUAGCGGUGAAAUGCGUAGAGAUGAGGAGGAACACCAGUGGCGAAGGCGGCCACCUGGACAGUAACUGACGCUGAGGCGCGAAAGUGUGGGUAGCAAACAGGAUUAGAUACCCUGGUAGUCC
rnacentral:rRNA from 1 species